rnacentral:misc_RNA from 1 species
UUGCGGGGCUUCUUGGCAGCUCCAGAGUGGGAGAAGCAUCAUGCUGCACUCAUUGCACUGGCACAGAUCGCCGAGGGUUCCUCAAAGGUGAUGAUAAGGAACCUCGAGCAGAUAGUUUCUAUGGUUUUAAACUCAUUCCAAGAUCCCCAUCCCCGUGUGAGGUGGGCUGCUAUAAACGCAAUUGGACAAUUGUCAACUGACCUGGGCCCUGAUUUGCAAAUAAAGUAUAAUCAGCAAGUGCUUCCUGCUUUGGCUGGAGCAAUGGACGAUUUUCAGAAUCCUCGAGUUCAGGCGCAUGCCGCGUCAGCAGUACUUAAUUUCAGUGAAAAUUGUACUGCAGAUAUACUGGCACCAUACUUGGAUGGAAUUGUAAGCAAACUUCUUGUACUCCUCCAGAAUGGCAAGCAAAUGGUGCAAGAGGGUGCCCUGACAGCUUUAGCAUCAGUUGCUGAUUCAUCACAGGAGCAAUUUCAGAAAUAUUAUGAUGCUGUAAUGCCUUACUUGAAAGCCAUACUGGUGAAUGCAAAUGACAAGUCUAAUCGCAUGCUUCGUGCAAAAGCUAUGGAAUGCAUUAGUUUGGUUGGGAUGGCCGUUGGAAGGGAUAAAUUUAGAGAUGAUGCGAGGCAGGCUAUGAAUGUCUUAAUGUCGCUUCAAGGAU